GGGGCCUCAAUGGAAGUGAAAUGUGAUGGCAGAAGAAGACACCACAGGAGUUUUUGAGGCAUCGGUUAGGAAGUGAACAGCAGAACUGGCAGAGGCUGCUGGGCCUGUUGGGGUACCAGGAGUGACAGAGAAGACUGGCAGCUGCAGAGCAGGACAGACCAGAUUGGCCAGUACAACAGCAGAGGGCCAUGUUGGGCUUUGACUCAGGAAUCCUGGUGGAGGCAAUGAUGAGAGAGAAGAGAUGAAACACACUAGGUAAGCCAAGGUAGUUGUCAGGAUAGAAGGAGACAGGCAGGCCAGAUGGCUGUUAACCGUGUGGUGUGUCCCAACUUUCCAGCAUCAAUUUAACGGCCAAAUUAAAAUGUAAGUCAACUUAAGCCAAGGUCAAUUUUAAUCCUAUGCUUUGCUGGUGAUACAGAAUCAUUAACUGUAUCAAUAAUGCCCACAUUCAACUCAUUCUACAAUGGGGGCAAUUGUAAUUUUGGUCUGGAUAUGUUUAACAAAAUGGAAAGGAAGAAGGCAAAACCACGGAACUAUUUUUUUUUUUUCUUUAGACGGAGUCUUGCUCUAUCUGUCACCCAGGCUGGAGUACAGUGGUGCGAUCUUGGCUCACUGCAGCCUCCGCCUCCUGGGUUCAGGCAAUUCUACUGCCUCAGCCUCCCGAGCAGCUGGGAUUACAGGUGCGUGCCGCCACGCCCUGCUAAUUUUUGUAUUUUUAGUAGAGACGGGGUUUUACCAUGUUGGCCAGAUGGUCUUGAUCUCCUGACCUCAGGUGAUCCGCCCGCCUCAGCCUCCCAAAGUGCAGGAAUUACAGGCGUGAGCCACCGUUCCCAUCUGGAACUAUUUUUUUAAACUGAUGCACAUUAAUAAGAUUUAGAAAAUCUUGAGAUUUAAUGGACAGUGUUGAGAUUCAUAUAACUUUAUGUUGAGAAUUCUCUUUCCAGGAAUUAUUUAUUUCAAUUAGUCACAUUUUUAUCUUCUACUGAAGUGUAAACUUAAUUUAGUGUAAAUAACUACCAUUUGAAUACUAACAUAAUCUUUUUCUUUGUAUAAAAAAUACAAAAAGAUCAUUUAUGUGUGUGUACACAUACGUGUCAAGACUAAAAAUUAAGCACGGGGUAAAGUCUUUGGCAAAGGACAAAUAGUCGGCAAGUUCACAGAUUAGAAUUUAGAAUUCCAUCAUGAAGUUGACUAAAUUGUUAGUUUAAAGAAGACAGUGAGUGUCAGCACAUAAAAAGGUAAUCCUGUCUCAAUUGUAGCUACAGAUUGCAAGUCCUGUGUCAAUUCAAAUUUUUGCCAGCAGAUACUAAUGACUUCACUGAAAGCAGAUGUUUAGAAAUGAAAGUAUAAACACAACCCCAGUUGAUUAAUAUGCUUAUUGUAUUUCCUUGUUGUGAGUCUAGCGAAUAUUUGAUUAUCUUUAAGUUGAUCCAUAGUAUAUUCAACAGUCUCAUGAGAACAUAAUUUUUGUUGAUGAUUUGUCCAAAGUUUCUAUUAAUCCAUCCUAGCAGCAGAGCCAAGUGUUAGAGUUAUUGCUGCCUGAGUUAUAACAGCUGCCCUGGGAAUCUUGUCUGAACAACAAGUUAACUGCUGUUCCCAGUUAUAUCUGGUCUUUCCCACCCCCAAACAUACACAAAAGAUUUUUGUCAUUCUUGGCACUGGACAACAGAAGUGAUAAGACAUGCCAGCAGAACUCUAAAGGCAGAAUGUCCUUCCACCUGUUUUAUGCUGUAAGACAAACUUCCAAGUGCGAGGCAGUGUGGAGGGCUGUUUCCUUGAAUGGCAGCUGAAUGCACCGGCGGGAUCCUUGGCAGCAAUGCCCAGGCACUGAAGCCGGGCAUUCAGGAGAGCUAAAUGGAGAAAAGAAACUUGAGCAAACUGCUUCCUGGAACACUGAGAACCUGAAUGGGAAAUUAAGAAGAACCAGAUUCUUUCUAUUCUUCCACCAGCCAAGGUGAUGAGCACAAAAGGAUCCAUCUUAUACAGUGCUUGCCAGCUUCCAUAAUACUACUCACCACGAUGUUGAAAUCACCUGUUCCAGAACCAGUCCUGUCCUUUGACAAGAAGGAUUUAAUUAUCAGUAGUGGUGGGGACUGGCUGGAGAGAGGAAAAACACUUCAAGGACUCUGCCACCUUUCGUAGAUGGAGAGUGCAAAGUUUGUACCAUGGAACUCCUUCUCUAACAGUUACUCUGUGGCAGUGCCUAUUUCAAACCUCCCUUAACUUCUGAUUGUAUAGAUGUUUGUUUCAUUUGUUCAUCUGUUUGUUCACUUAGUCAGAGAUGUUUUAAGCCUUAAGAGAAAUAGUGGACUAGAAAAUGCCUUGGAAAAGUACAAAGUUCAAUCCAAGUAAACUGUUUUUAAACUAGGAACUUAUGAAGCCUAAAAUAUAAAAUGUAUGUACAUGGAUAUGCUCUGAAGUGAGGUAGAGGGGUAGAAAUCAACAUUGUGAUAUUGUACUAUAGUUUUGCAAGAUGUUACCAUUGGGGGAAAAUGUUUGAAGGGUAUACAGGAUAUCUCUGCCUUAUUUCUUACAACUGCAUGUGAAUCUACAGUUAUCUCAAAAUAAAAAUUUAAUUAACAAUUGAUUACAAUUAA